rnacentral:rRNA from 1 species
UCGGGAAUUUUGGGCAAUGGGCGAAAGCCUGACCCAGCAACGCCGCGUGAGGGAUGAAGUAUUUCGGUAUGUAAACCUCGAAAGAAUGGGAAGAAUAAAUGACGGUACCAUUUAUAAGCUCCGGCUAACUACGUGCCAGCAGCCGCGGUAAUACGUAGGGAGCAAGCGUUGUUCGGAUUUACUGGGCGUGAAGGGCGCGUAGGCGGCGCGGUAAGUCACUUGUGAAAUCUCUGAGCUUAACUCAGAACGGCCAAGUGAUACUGCUGUGCUAGAGUGCGGAAGAGGCAACCGGAAUUCUUGGUGUAGCGGUGAAAUGCGUAGAUAUCAAGAGGAACACCUGAGGCGAAGGCGGGUUGCUGGGCCGACACUGACGCUGAUGCGCGAAAGCCAGGGGAGCAAACG